rnacentral:rRNA from 1 species
AGUUAGAGAGUACAGAGAGGGAGAGAAUUUGAGAGUAUAGAGAGAAGGAGGGAGUACAGGAAGAAUGAUGGGUGCACCUUUCGUCUAGCCGUAGAGAGGGUUUUAACCUCGUUCCUUCAACCCCGUACCUUAGACACGCGAGCGGGUAGCUAGAAUAGUGUAAUCUUUAACAAAGAUCAAAUCGAGUCCAAGGAGAAGAGUGUGACUAAACGAAACUUAAACGAAAAAGACCAAAUAUUAACUUAACUGGUUAGUCUAGUGGGUCGUACACCGUCAUCUCUUAGUCUAACCCCUAUGUGAACCAGUCUUAACUUCUGUGGCAGUAACUACUAUUCCGGUUGGUAGUUUGUGUACCUACUUGACGCGGGACGGGGACCUGCGUCGACGUCCAGCGACAAGUACUGGUGGUGGUGGUUCAAGAUGUAUACCGGCAUACGAGGUGACGAGAUUCUACUACAACGGGAAAAGUCAACAUAAAGUCAUCAUCUAGACAUCAAUGCAAGUGCGUGAUGAAUGAUCGCGAUGAUCAUCUUUUCCCCCGUAAACAGGGCCAAGCAUUCCCGGAAAUCAGGGCUAAGUACUUGACCCUGAUUACCUAGCAAUAAUUAUGGAGGGGGAAAUCAGGGCCAAGAUUGUGUUUGGCCCUGUUUACCAGGAGGUGCACCGGCCACGCGGCUCGGGUCCGUCCC